GCCUUGGGUUGGAUAGUGAAAUGGAAAGCUACUUCUCCAAUGCGAGGAACAACUGGACACCUCACCUGAUGGCCGGCCAAAUGCAUAAAGGGAAGGAGCGCAGGCCAAAUGCCUGUCCGAAUGCACAGCAGCACUCUCACGGCCGUGAGCUGGGCAAAGAGGCUGCACUGUUUGGUGAAAAUGCCCCGGGGUCACCAGGUGGGUUUCCAUAGCCAUGGAAGCAUUCAGGCCAAGGUCAGGGGCCAAGAUCCAAUCACUGUCUUCUGACUCUGUCCGAUUGGCCAGAUUUCUUCCAGGAAGGUUGACCACUACAGCCUUAUAAUGAGGGUGAGGGUGCCUUCAGACAUAAAUUAAACCUGCUUCGGAGCCGUGGCGGUGCAAUGGGUUCAACUGAUGGCCUGAAGGUUGGCAGUUUGAAUCCACAAGAUGGGGUGAGCUCCCCUCUGUCAGCUCCAGCUGACAGUGAUUUGGCCUAAUGGGGACCCAUGCCCCAUUUCAGAGAAGCCCUGGCCCACAAACAUCUAACUCAGUUUGCAUGGGCAAACUUCAGCCCUCCAGGUGUUUUGGACUUCAACUCCCACAACAGAAAAAAUGUCUGUUUUCCCCACCGGCUCUUCUCCUCCUCCUUCCCAUGAGUCUUCUCUCAACCUUCCAAGAUUCAUCUUCUCAUCUGACAAUGGCCUUCUGAUAAUAACGCUUAGUUUCUUUCUUCAAGCCACUGGUGUGUUUCCCUCUUAAAUCCAGAUCUCUCGCUGCUUAAUCUGCUGAACGCACACGCUAACAAAAGGAACAAGUGAGGGAAGAGGAAAGCCUGCCAAUGGAAGCCUUGUUUAUUUAUUUGUGCAUCGUGUGUAUAAAUGCCCACUCUGUGCAAUGUUGGGCCCUCCCCGUUGGCAUCCAGAACAGCAGCAACCCCACCCAACCAGGGAGUGAGGCUGAAGCCUAUUAAAACGAUGAUGGAUGGUUGCCAUCCCCACUGUCUGUCUGAACCGUCCACCGUCUGGAUGCUGCUACAGAAAGGCCCCUGCUGCAGGAGGACCCCAAGGAAAUGCUAUAAGGAGAUCUUGGGUUUGAUGAAAUGGGUUUCCUUCUUAUUAAAUGGCUUGAAGGCUUUUCUCCAUAGCACUUGGGGAAGAAAAGUAGAAGAAAAGCCCCCAAGCCAGUUAGUGAGAAGGAAAGGGAAAUGAUCUUGUGCGGAAGCAGCAGAACCCAGCAUGAUCCAUGCAAGCAUUGUCCUCUCAGGGUCCCAAAUCUGCUGCAAUGGAAGACAGAGGCUCUUGUGGGACCUGGAAGAACCAUAGAACCAUGAAAUCAUGGAGCUGGAAGAGACCUCGUGGGCCAUCCAGUCCAACCCCAUUCGGCCAAGAAGCAGGACAAUCGCAUUCAUCAAGGGACCACGAUGCCCCAUCCUUCUUCUCCCUUCCCUGCUCCAUGGCAAGAGCCCCAGAAGCUAUGAUGAUGACCAUCACUUGUCACCUCCCUCCCUCCCUCCUUCCCUUCGUCAUGCACUCUUUUCCCCAAAUCAAAACUGAGAAUGAAGGCAGCAUGCAAAUAUUAACAUAAGUUGAAUGAAAAGCACAAAAUUAUGCAGAUGCAAAGGUUCAGUGGCCUGAUCUUGCACAAUGGACCCUCUCCAAAACUGCCUAGAGUCCAAUUAUUGUAUAUGAGAAGUCAUAUGAGAAGUCAUGAGAAGAGUCAAUUUAUCUUCCAAGAGAAGAAAAAAAGAUUCUUUUUACUGUGAAUGUAACAGUCUUAUGGCUUUAUUUGUGUUUAUAUAACUACCUAGCUUUGGAUUCAUAUCGAUGCAUUGAACUAAAUAUAUGCUCAAUAACAUGCAAAACUUUUGUAUUACUGUAACCGUGGAUACUUGUCUUUGUAGUUCCAAGGAACCCAUUUUCCUUUGUAGAGAAAUCCUAGGCAGAGCAGCUCUCUAGGAAUGUCUGGGUCCAGCAAUGUGAUUGGGAUCUGACUGGCUUAAAAUGCAAUGAAAAUCACACAGAAUUAAAACCAUUUCAAACCACAAAGCCAGUGCGGUUUGAAGGGAAGGGACAGAUCUCAGGGAUCACCAGCUCAAAAAGGGGUGAAGAGAGAUGUCCAGAUCAUAAAGCUUACCCAUGUACUAAUUAAACAUUCUCUCCUAGAGAGAGAAAGUGAAGGCAUGAUGAUGAUGAUGAUGAUGAUGAUGAUGAUGAUGAUGAUGAUGAUGAUUAUUAUUAUUAUUAUUAUUAUUAUUAUUAUCUUUCCCUGAUAUUUUCACUCUGAGAAGUAUUUCCCUUCUUUGAGAUCUGGAGAUGGGAAGCAAAUGCCAAGAGCUCUGACAACUUUAACACUAGGUAUGGGCAAAGUUUGUGCCAGCUCUCCCUCUUUCUCCCUCUUUCUCUCUCUUUCUCUCUCCCUCCCUCAUUUCUUUCUUUCCUUCUCUCUCUCUCUCUCUCUCUCUCUCUCUCUCUCUCUCUCUCUCUCUCUCUCUCUCUCUCUCUCUCUCUCUCUUUCUCCUGGGCCUCUUCUAUCACAUGAAAGUGCCUCUGCCCUGUGCCAUAUUUUCCAGGAGACAAGGGCUUCCUUGUCAGAGGUUCUUUAUGGUGCAAAACAAGGAAGGGAGACAAGGGAACCUGAUUUAAACAGCGAGUGGCAUUCCACCUGCACAGAGCAAUCGUCAAUCAUGGCAGGAAGCGGAGCCCUUGGCCAAGCAGAGCCAAAGGGUGGCUGGGAUUGCAAACACCAUGAACUGGUCCCAGUUACUUUUUGCUGUGGAAAGAGGCACCAGAAUUGGGGGAGGGGGGGCAGAGGGGGACCCUGGGAAACAUCUGCCACCAGAGAAGGUUGCAAAGCAUCUGGAGACUAUAAGCCAAAAUGAGCUUCCGCUGGCACCUUUCGUGGGAUCAAAACUUUGCAAAACUACAACGCCCACGAUCCCAUACAGAAAAUGUUGUCAAGCCACAGUCAUUCAACAUUGUCCAAUCACUUUCACUAUGCGAUCAUGAGAGUUGGGGUUUUGCAAAGUUUGUAUCCUUCUCUGCCAACUGGUGCCUCUGCAAACUACAUCACCCAGGAUCCCAUGGCAUGGAGCCAGGGCAGUUCAACUGGUGUGAAGCUGCGUUCAUUCUACAAGGUAGAUGCGCCUCCAGUUUCAUCCCAGUCGGAAGGGAGCCUGGACAAGAACCAAGGGGGAAAGCACUGCCAAUCCUUUGCUCCCUGACUGUCAUCAGACCAGGUGGAGAAGGGAGAUGCAUUGAUAAGAGCCAGGAGCCCUGUUGACAAGUGCUACAUUCGCACUAAAAAAAGGAAGAACUUGCAUAUAUUCCCAAAAGGGGUUGUUUGUUUUAAUUAUGUUAAUUCUGCUCCGAAGCUUAAAUGCAUGCUCAGCAGCUGCACUAGCAACUUGUUGUGAUGCAGCUGGAAAACCCCUCCUCCUGCCAGGAGGCUCCUGACGAUUCCCUCCCUUCUUCUCAUCCUUGGGUUUGGGAGAAAAGGAAACAGAAGCGUGGCUCCAUUUGCCCCCUGCCCACCCUCUGACAGAAGAAUGGGGCUUAAUAGGCACACAAAGACAUGGAAGAAGGGAAGGGAAGGGUUUGGCUGGAAUCCUGUUCAGUAUCAUGUCAAGGUUUUCCUUUUCUUCAUCCAUGUGUUUCUCCUCCUUCUAUUUCAUAUCCCUCUCUACUUCUCCUUCCUUUUUCUUUCUACUUCUUACCUUCUUCUUCCUUCCUCCUUUCCCCUCUUCUUCCUCCUCCUCUUCCUCCUCCUAAUCUUCUCCUCUUUCCUCUUCAUUGUCUUCCUCCUCCUCCUCCUCUUUCACCUCCUCUCCUUCCUUCAAUUUAUUUAUUUAUUUUAUUUACAGCAUUUAUAUUCCGCCCUUCUCACCCUGAAGGGGACUCAUGGCAGAUCACAUUACACAUAUAGGCAAACAUUCAAUGCCUUUUAACAUAGAACAAAGACAAGACAAACAUAGGCUUCGAGCAGGCCUCGAAUUCAUGACCUCCUGGUCAGAGUGAUUCAUUGCAGUGAUUCAUUGCAGCUGCUCUCCAGCCUGCGCCACAGCCCGAGACUAACAUUCCUCUUCUUUCCUCUUCACUGUCUUCCUCCUCCUCUUCUCCUUCUUUCACCUCCUCUCCAUCCUCCUCUUUGUUAGUGUUUUUGUUGUUAUAGUGUGAAAUGUUCAAUCAAUUGUUGCUGUCGGAUUGUGUGUAUGUGUUCUGGCAAGCAUUCCAGCAGUGCAGGAGUUAAUUACAGCCAGCCCUGAUUGAUUGCCUGGAGGGCCUAUGGGUCAAGACUUCUGUUUCAGCUACAUGGACGGAACGUCAUAAACUGUGGAAUGCAAGGAGGUGCUUGCUUGCAUUGAUAAUGAACUUGUCAAGCUGAGAGGAUGCACCAUGUUUUGUCCUUGCCGAGGAAACAUGUGUCCAGAGAGUGAUGGUAUUUAGUGUUGUAAAUAACUUGUAAAUAAAGCCUUUAGAACUGCUGGAAUCAGCAGAUAAUUUAUGACUGAGCUGUUGUUUGUCGGUGCCACUUUCACCACUGCCUAAGUAGUCUGGCUGAUGAGAAGAAGGUGAGACCUGACUCAUCAAUGGGUCAGGGUGAUGAUUCCCUGACACUCUUUCCCCUUCAUUGUCCUCUUCCUCCUCCUCCUCCUCCUCCUCCUCUUCCACCUCCUCUUCUUCCUUCUUCAUUGUCUUCCUCCUGCUUCUUUUCUUCUUCCUCUUCCUCCUCUCCUUCCUCCUAACUUUCCUCUUCUUUGCCCUUCAUUGUCUUCUUCCUCCUUUUUCCCCUUCCUCCUCCUCUUCCUCUUCUUCCUCCCGCAUUAUCCCAAAACUGGUCUUCCUGCUUUUGUGGAGGGCUGACCCUCCUUGCUGGAGAUAACCCUCCUUUGGAUAAACAACCUUUGUGUCCUCCCAAGAAGUGUCCUUGAGGCCAAACAAGCAUAAUUCUAUCAUUUAGCUGCCUUUUCAAAUUAAAUUCAUCAUUCCCUAGGUUGCUUUGCCUCUAAAUGCUCUUUCAUCUAUGCCAUUUUUGCCAUUUUAUAACAGGCUUUUGUUUUCUUAAGAAGGAGGUGUGCUUUGCUCCAGGAUCUCUUCUGGGUGCUUUAGGGGCCGAGGACGGCUAUGGGAUGUCCCUUUGCAAAACCUGUCAUCCUCAACCUCAAGAUCCUGCCAUGAGGAGAAGAAGAAGAGGAGGAGAAACAUAAAGCCACCUUGGGUGCUGGGCACCAGGGUCUGUAGCCCAAUGUCCAACCCCAAAGGCAUCCGUGUGCAUCCAUGCUCAAGGGCACUGCAGGCAAACCUCUGCUUCCACAACCUAAAGCUGACCCAAAUGCCCAGCUGCUUAUUUAAGAGGAACCUGCUCAAAGGAAGCAGAGCCCCAGUUCCUUCAAAGACGUCAGUUGCGUGCCUUUCUCUGUGAAGUUCACUUGUGACCACAUCCUCAAUCCGUUCACAUCAGUGUUUUGGGAAGUUUCCUGAACUGUGUUACAGAGUUACAGAGACAGAGUUUGCUCCAUUGAGAAGGCAAUAAUAAUUCACCCUGUCAGCAUUUAUAUUCCGCCCUUCUCACCCCGAAGGGGACUCAGGGCGCAUCACACAUAAAGGCAAACAUUCAAUGCCAUGACAUAGAACAGACACAGAGACAAGACGCAGGCACCGGGCUGGCCUCGAACUCGAACCACCCGAGACUUACUUGCCUUUCGGAAAGCCUGCAAAACCUUGCUCUUCUGACAAGCUUUCAAUGGGUGAAAAACUCGGGGCUAUGUCUGUUUUUAUCGUUGCUUUUAUUGUUGAUUUUAUUGUUUUUAUUGUUAUUUUAAAGCCAAGUGUAUUGUUUUAAUCUAUUUUUGUAAACCGCUCUGAGCCAAACUGGGAGUAGCGGUAUAUAAGUGUAAUAAAUAAAUAAAUGAAGAAAUAAAAUGA